UAGGGAAUCUUCGGCAAUGGGGGCAACCCUGACCGAGCAACGCCGCGUGAGUGAAGAAGGUUUUCGGAUCGUAAAGCUCUGUUGUAAGUCAAGAACGAGUGUGAGAGUGGAAAGUUCACACUGUGACGGUAGCUUACCAGAAAGGGACGGCUAACUACGUGCCAGCAGCCGCGGUAAUACGUAGGUCCCGAGCGUUGUCCGGAUUUAUUGGGCGUAAAGCGAGCGCAGGCGGUUUGAUAAGUCUGAAGUUAAAGGCUGUGGCUCAACCAUAGUUCGCUUUGGAAACUGUCAAACUUGAGUGCAGAAGGGGAGAGUGGAAUUCCAUGUGUAGCGGUGAAAUGCGUAGAUAUAUGGAGGAACACCGGUGGCGAAAGCGGCUCUCUGGUCUGUAACUGACGCUGAGGCUCGAAAGCGUGGGGAGCGAACAGGAUUAGAUACCCUGGUAGUCCACGCCGUAAACGAUGAGUGCUAGGUGUUGGAUCCUUUCCAGGAUUCAGUGCCGCAGCUAACGCAUUAAGCACUCCGCCUGGGGAGUACGACCGCAAGGUUG
rnacentral:rRNA from 1 species